rnacentral:rRNA from 1 species
UACGUAGGGUGCGAGCGUUGUCCGGAAUUAUUGGGCGUAAAGAGCUCGUAGGCGGUGUGUCACGUCGGCCGUGAAAACCUGCAGCUUAACUGUGGGCGUGCGGUCGAUACGGGCAUCACUGGAGUUCGGCAGGGGAGACUGGAAUUCCUGGUGUAGCGGUGAAAUGCGUAGAUAUCAGGAGGAAUACCUAUGGCGAAAGCAGGUAUCUGGGCCACAACUGACGCUGAGCUGCGAAAGCUAGGGGAGCAAACAGG